rnacentral:lncRNA from 1 species
UCAACAUCCUACCCUAACGCUAAUUUUUUAUCCGAAAAUAGUAGUUAUCGGUUAUCCCCACCAAUACCUUCAUUUUCUAUAUAAAACUAUCUAAAAUUGUUCUUUUCUCCGGAAACAACUCAAUUUUCAUCUAAACACUAUUUUUCUUAUCCUCAUACUUGUAUCUAUCCCUAUAAUAGCUAGUUCUUGUUUAUACCCGAACCAAAUGGUACCUAAAAGUAGUGGAACGUCUACAACUA